ACUACGGGAGGCAGCAGUAGGGAAUCUUCCACAAUGGGCGAAAGCCUGAUGGAGCAACGCCGCGUGGGUGAAGAAGGUCGUCGGAGCGUAAAACCCUGUUGUUAGAGAAGAAAGUGCGUGAGAGUAACUGUUCACGUGUCGACGGUAUCUAACCAGAAAGCCACGGCUAACUACGUGCCAGCAGCCGCGGUAAUACGUAGGUGGCAAGCGUUAUCCGGAUUUAUUGGGCGUAAAGGGAACGCAGGCGGUCUUUUAAGUGUGAGGUGAAAGCCUUCGGCUUAACCGGAGUAGUGCAUUGGAAACUGGGAGACUUGAGUGCAGCAGAGGUGAGUGGAACUCCCUGUGUAGCGG
rnacentral:rRNA from 1 species